CCGGUUGCUGCUGUUGCUGGGCGAACAUCCUGGAGAGGGAGAGGGGGGGUGGACUUCGCUUGCCUCGCCGAAGGCGGCAAGUCCACCUCUCGCUCCACAGAGGGCCACCGCCGCCGCCGCGUAAAGCUGCCGGGGAAGAUUAUGGAAAUCUUCCAACCUCCUUGAAAGGUAUGCCUUGAGGCUGCCCUUGGAUGGUGUUUGAAUAAAUGAGAAAAUACUCCUACCUUUUAAGCCUGGCUACCACAUGGAAUGGACUUGAAAUGAAGGGAACAUCCUCCUCUGGACAAAGCUGAAAAGAAAUUUGUUACCAGGGAAUGGUUAUGCCAUACUUAGGAACAAUGAGGAUUGGGCCUUGGAGGAAAAAAAAAUAGCCCCUUUGCUAUAUUGUGAAAUUUCUUCAACUAUAUCACUUUAGAAAGUUCUGGGGAAACAGCAUAGUGAAAACUGGGAAAUUUAGUUGGUGUUGUUUGUGAAAUACUUUAAGCCCCUUCUUCAGCUAGUAUCCAUAAUUUGGAUGUUGUUUCUCUUAGCUUUUCUCCCUUAUCCUUUAUGUUUCUUUUUAUUUAUUUAUUUAUUUUCUGCAGGUCUUUAAUUUUUGAUAUUAUUUCCCUGUGGCAGGAUAGUUUUUAACUCUUUUAUUGAUUUUAAUUGCCUGUUAAAAGAAAAGGGUUAUUGCAAUUUAUUGGAGGAAAUAUAACAUUAACUUUCUUACUGUUGUUUUAUUGUCUUUGCCUUCUUUGUUCUUCAUUUUCUUCUGUUUUUUUCUCCCUGUUUUUACUGUUAUCCAGCUGCCCUAUGUAUCCAAGAAGCAGCUUAACAGAUAUCACGUACAAUACGCUUGGCAACUGUCAGGGUCAAGCUUUUCCCAGUUCCUAAAAAUGUCUUGUUCUGCCAAGUGGAGGAUGUAAAUCCUGAUAAUAUUAGCUUCUUGGCGCCUUUUUUGGCACCCAAAUCAGGCUUCGGUAAAUGAGGUCAAAGCAUUGUAUUGUGAACGGCAAAGGGUUAGAAUAUAAAGUAUGGAUGAAGAAUCGUGCUUAGUUUAGUUCACUUUCCCACAUCUUAUAUGCAGGGAAAAUAUAUGCUAAAUAAUUAUUAAGCCCUUCCAUAAACAUUCAGUAUUCACACAGUUGUAAAUCAAUCAAGAGCUAAAUAUUCCUGACAAAUACAGAAUAAAAGUGUAAGAGAACAGUGGAAUAAAUAAAAAACAAUAUCCUCUCCCUGUGUAACUAUAGUAGUGUUAGUUUUAAAAUAUAUUAUUUCAAACAUAUGGAAAACUUUCUGUUGUAUUGACUCUGGAAGAGCAAUUUGAGGGCCCAUGAAGAUUUUUCAGCUAAAAUACCAGAAAGUUCAUUGUGUUGCGUGCUUAAAAAUGUCUUUGAGGGUGUCUCUAUAUUUUGCUAUUCAAUUGUAUGUUCAAUGUUUAUUCCAACAAAAUCUAUACAAUUCAUAAAUAAGAAAUAAUCACUUUUGAUGGUAUUGCUAUUUUGGGAUUGACAUUCUGAACCCAUAUCCCAAUAAUUCUGCUCAAUUGUUCAGCACGUGUACCCUAAAUUUACUUAGCCAUCUAACUUAGAUAUUUCACAGUGGCAGAAAAAUGUACUUAGUCCGCUGACAGUUUUAUGAUGAGUAAUUUCCCCUUCUCCCUUUGAAAGGAGAAAUAAUCAAAAGAAUACCAUUCACUUACUGAACUAUACAAGUUUCUACAGAGGUAUUGUGGGCAUGUUAUUCUGCAGCAAAAAAGUCUUAAAAGACUCGCAUUUAUUAUCAUGGAAGCUUUUGUGAAUCAUAGGCUACUUCAUUAAAUGGAUGUAAUGACGAUGUUAACACAGUAAUUUGAAAGCUGUGACACUCAUAAAAUUCUAGUCUCUCAUAA